rnacentral:rRNA from 1 species
UACGUAGGGCGCAAGCGUUAUCCGGAAUUAUUGGGCGUAAAGGGCUCGUAGGCGGUUUGUCGCGUCGGGAGUGAAAACACUGGGCUUAACCGAGUGCUUGCUUUCGAUACGGGCAGGCUAGAGUUCGGCAGGGGAGACUGGAAUUCCUGGUGUAGCGGUGAAAUGCGCAGAUAUCAGGAGGAACACCGGUGGCGAAGGCGGGUCUCUGGGCCGAUACUGACGCUGAGGAGCGAAAGCGUGGGGAGCGAACAGG